rnacentral:rRNA from 1 species
CAGCAGCCACGGGAAUACGUAGGGUGCAAGCGUUAAUCGGAAUUACUGGGCGUAAAGCGUGCGCAGGCGGUUUGUUAAGACAGAUGUGAAAUCCCCGGGCUCAACCUGGGAACUGCAUUUGUGACUGGCAAGCUAGAGUCUGGCAGAGGGGGGUGGAAUUCCGCGUGUAGCAGUGAAAUGCGUAGAUAUGCGGAGGAACACCGAUGGCGAAGGCAGCCCCCUGGGCCAACACUGACGCUCAUGCACGAAAGCGUGGGGAGCAAACAGGAUUAGAUACCCGCGUAGUCCCUGUCUCUUAUAA